rnacentral:lncRNA from 1 species
UUGCAGUUGUUGAUGGAGCGGGCGUUCAGGGCGUCGGCGGGAGUGAGACACGUGGCGGCGAAGACGCCGGGGUUUUUGUUGGCGAAGAUUGCGACGCCGACUCCGGUUCCGCAGGCGACGAGGCCACGUGUGGUGGUGUCGGAGGAAUCGGAGGAGGAGACGCCGCGGCCGACCUCGGCGCCGAUGGAGUAGUAAUCGGAGGUGCCGAGAUCUUCCACGUCUAUGUUGAGUGACCGGAGGUGGGAGACCAGAGCGUCUUUCAAUUCGGCGCCGAAGGAGUCGGCGCCUGCGAUGAUCUUGAGAGGGCUGGGAGCGGCAGCGGCGGCGUUUUCAGCCAUGGUUCACUACGAGUUGACUAUUCCGAGGGAUGAGUUCAGUGGAGAGUCAGUAAGUCUACAUUCUGGGCGAAUGGUGUGAUGUCAAUUAUCGAUUUUCAUGCAGAAAUGGAUAAUUUACUCCAUGUCCUUGUCGUUUCACCAAAUUUAAAAUAAUCAAAGAAAGGUUUAAAUCAAUCAAAAAAACUUUUCUUUGUGAAAUUCGCUAAAAAAUAGUGGCUUUUGUAAUGUUAUACCGAUUAUAUACUUAAAGUAACUCAUUAUCAUUAUCAAUAUUAAUUCAAUCAAAAUUUCUUUAUUUAUUCAUUUAUUAAUUUUAUAUCAAGUUAUUAAUCAAUCAAAAUGUGUAUAUUUGUUAAUUUCGUUAUAAUUAUUUUAAAAUAAAUCACUUAUUUUUGUUAGUAUUUAUAUACUCUAAAUGUAAGUAAGUUUUUUAAUUAUCAACAAUUACAUCAUAGCUUGAACAAAUAUAUAUAUAGUGGGUCAAACUUGUCUUUAACAUUGUUUAUAUUUUAAUUAGAGUGAUAAACUUGUCUUUAAUAGUGGGUCAAACUUGUUCGAGGGACUUAUUUGUUAAUUUCAUAAACAAUGAGUACCUACAUGUAAAUUUUCUUAUUACGUAAAAAUUAUUGUUUUAUAUAUUUUUUUUAUCAGAGAUAAAAAAAUAAGAGUAAAUUAAUUUUUUUUAUAAGAUCUUAUUAAAUUACAUUAUAAUAUAACUUACAUCAACCAUUAAUUUAUAAGUAGUGACUAAAAAUAAAACCAAUUAAAUUAUUUUUUUAGAUCACUAAUUAUAUCUUUUGAGUUAGUAUAAGUUACAUUAUAGGGUCCAGCUACUAUACCCAUGAGGUUUGGUACCCCAUUCUUUUGUCUUUUUCAAAUCCACCGUUGGAUUUAACGUGAGAGUUGAAUAAUGGUUAGAUGUGAUUAUUGGGUCAUUAGCAUUAAUUUACUAAUCAUAAUUGAUGAUAAAUAUAAAUAUGAUUUUUUUAAAUUUAAUACGGCAACCAAUUUUCUUUCACCCAUGUGAGCAGGGUUCAAACCCCAUAACCUUUUUUUUUUUUUUCAAGCAAUAAAUUUNNNNNNNNNNNNNNNNNNNNNNNNNNNNNNNNNNNNNNNAACUCUGCUGUACGGCCAAGGCGGAUGUACGGUACAGCAGUUUUUUCUCAAGCAAGAGAUUUUAUAUGUCAAGUAGAUGGAAUACACAAAAUACGAAAAUAAAUUUAAUUUCUGCUGUACGGCCAAGGCGGAUGUACGGUACAGCAGGGGCCCCCAGCUAUCACCCUUACUGUAGGCUACUCGCGCCUCAAGUUUCUGUCACUUUGCUCCCUUCACAUGUCGAGGCCACUAUCGGGAAAGUCCCAUCUAUAAAAUGGUCCAGGUACCGAUUUCUCACCAAAUCUUCAACCUGGGUCUUGAGAUCUCUGCAUUCUGCAGUUGUAUGGCCAUGAGUGCCAUGGAACUUACAAUAGCGUCCCCUAUCCCUCCUGCUGGGUAGCUUUGUUAUUGGGGCAGGGAGGUAACAUUAUAAUAUAACUUAACAACAUCUUUUUUAUAACACUGUGCUUAUUAUUGGCCUGACACUUUUCCGUAUUAAAAUUAUUGUUUCAAAUAAAGAAAUUGAAGUUAAUUUCAGAAAACAAUUUUUUUCAAAAAUUAAAAAACAAAUCCACAAAUUUCAAGGAUAAGCGGCGGAGGAUAAGAUCAGAAAUGGCGGGAACCGUUGGUUUGGGCUUGGGCAAACCCAUCAAAACGUUAAUCGCCGUUCGAUCCUGGGGAGUAUCGAUGACAUCAAACGCUGCUCAGGCACGGUGAACGGACGGCAACAAGAACACCAACAACAAAACUGCAACUCCCCAGUUUCUGGAAUUUGCAGUCAGUGGGGUCACUGAGCUUCUAAGGCUAUUCUCAUCCUUCGAUAAAGGCAGGUAAUUUACUUAUGAAGCUAUCAUCUCUGUUCUGUUUGGUUGCCAAGAAAAUGCCGGAAUACCCACCGGAAAGAUAAGGGAAAAUAUUGCAUAAUUGAUAAAAUUCAUCAGUUUAGUUUGCAUAUUUAAUAUUUUAUGUUUCGUUAGGUGUUUGCAGGUUGGAUAGAGUGAGUUAUAAACAAAAAGAUGAGAUUUUGGUUAAAUAAUUAAGCUACAAAAGAUAAAAACAAAAAUUAAAUUCUGCCCAAUUAAAUAAUUUAAAUAAAUUUAUCAAAGACAACUUAAAUUGCACGUGCGUACGUGCACUGGAGGGCCAGUUUGGGAUUUGUCAGAAUUUAUAAUAGAUUUUACUUAAAAUUCCGCACGAAAAUCAAUUGAAAUAGAGCCAAGAUCAGGUUCACUUUAGAAAUUAAAUAGCGAUCAAAACCAUUGCUUGCCCCCAAAGUAACAUGCACACCAACACAAAGACAUCAUGGAUUGGAUUACAAUUAACUUCAUUGGAGAUAAUAGGAAUUAGUAGAGAAAUAAAAAUGUUACUAAUAGGGAGAUACAAAGUGUAUUUAGAUGAACAUCCACAUUAAAUUUUAAUAUUUUCAUUACAUAAUUUCAUAAGAAUUUUGAAACUAGAAGGGAUCCUAACAUUUAGAAUUUAAUGUUAAGAGGUGGGUAAAAUCAACCAAUUUUUUUAAUCCAGGAGAAUUUAAACUCGACUGGCCAGCCAAAUAAUGUUGCUUGAAAUCCACUUGGCCAGGUCCCUAAUGUCAAGUUACCAUUCAACUUGCAUAUGGUUUAAGUAAAACUGGGAAGAAAUAUUAGUAGAAAUUUAUGGCUAAACAUGAUAUGUAGGGUAGAAACUAGUGUUUUUCUUAGAGCCAAUUUGGAAACAGAGAUGCUACUACAGUUAUUCUCCUUGAGUUUGAGUUAAACACUGAUAUCAAAAUGCAUAUGAAUUACACACUUGCGCCAAGAUUAGAAAUUUCGAUUGCCAAUUCACAAUGCAUAUUCACACACAUAAUUGGAGCAAUUGCCACAUAAGUAUCAACUAAAAUGGCAAUACAUAAUAAAAAUACAGGAAAAGAGAUCAUUACAAAUUCGGCAAGAGUUCGAUAAUAUUAUAUUACUUGGCCAAAAAACACUCAUUAGGUUUACAGCUUUCAAAUGCCUUAAAAUUAAAAUGACAUAAAUGAGUUUUUAAAUUUAAAAAAAAAAAAAAAAAAAAAAAAAAAAUCAGGCUGCAUGCACAUAGGAGUUCACAUUAAGGAGAUCUUGAAAAUCCCAAUGUCACAAGUUCAAAGUAUUGCAGAAUAUAUUUCACGAGAAGAAAGCAGAGACUCCAGAUUAUAGUAUCUACAAUUUAAACACUAUAAAGGGAGCACCUAUAACUCGGUUACAAUUUGUUCAAAGCAAUGGGAAAUGAGGGUGGCAGACAAACACUAAACAUGUAUCAAACUAACACGAACAAACAAUCAAAAUAAUAAUAACGAUCGCAACACAAUCAACAAUCUGAGAACAAAGAGCAUCAAGAUUAUCCAAAAUACAAGUAUAUUCACACUACGCGAUACACAAUUCAAUAUACAAGUUUGUUCAUACUACACAAUACACAAUUCAAUAUACGAGUAUGUUCAUACUUCACAAUACACAAUCUCUUGCACAACAAGCAAACAACUCAUACAUUAUUCAAAAGCAAACCCAUUAUUACCCAAACUUAAUCUGAAUCUUCCCCAUAGAAGCUGAUCAAGCAGUUUCCUUCUCAACCGCCUUCUUUGCAGCCUCAAGAUCCUCAUCAAAGAACAUAUCCCAACGCCCAUCCCACUUGAUGAAAAACUCAGUCUCUUCGUAAUACUUCACUCUAUGCACAUCACCAGCCGGUGUAAACAAGUAAUCCCCAACAGUCAAAUCAAACCUUUCCCCUUUAGUCAGAUUCCACACACUCUUCUUCCCUUGGAGCACCACCAGAUCAUGCCCAAAUGUAUGGUGAUGCGCGGGCUCCACACUCCCGGCCUUAAACCUCACAAUGGCCGAUGUCGGACUCUCCCUAAUAAUCUUCAUUGACCCACCGGGAAUCAUUUCCACAGGAUUCAAUUCCCUGUUCUUAACUAAACAACAUAUGCUACAAGUACUGCUACUAGAAUCACUAUCUAAUUUAUCAUUUUUACCAAUAAGGGGCAUUUCGGUCAUCGAUUUGUCGAAAAAACACGAUAUGUUCUCUUCCCAUGGCUUAAAACCCGACGCGGGGCAUGGGGCUUUAAAAGGGGUUUUAAGCCACGUGUCCAGGAUUUCGACGGCGGAUUCUUUGGAAGUGGACAUACCUGAGACGGCGAGGACGUUGCAGUUGUUGAUGGAGCGGGUGUUGAGGGCGUCGGCGGGAGUGAGACAUGUGGUGGCGAAGACGCCGGGGUUUUUGUUGGCGAAGAUUGCGACGCCGACUCCAGUUCCGCAGGCGACGAGGCCGCGUGUGGUGGUGUCGGACGAAUCGGAGGAGGAGACGCGGCGGCCGACCUCGGCGCCGAUGGAGUAGUAAUCGGAGGUGCCGAGAUCUUCCACGUCUAUGUUGAGUGACCGAAGGUGGGAGACCAAAGCGUCUUUCAAUUCAGCACCAAAGGAGUCGGCGCCGGCGAUGAUCUUGAGAGGGUGAGGAGCAGCGGCGGCAGCGUUUUCAGCCAUGGUUGACUAUGAGUUGACUAUUCUGAGGGAUAAGCUCAGUGGAGAGUCAGUUACUGAG